UGGUCUAGUGCAACAGUGACAGGUGGCAAUGGCUCACUGGGGCAUUGGGUAGCCUUGAUUGCUUGCACGGUUCUGCUUCUCCAUUUCCCAUCGGUUAUUGGGGCAUUUUCCUCGAUCACCGCCACGGCAUGAGCUUGAUGCGGCUGUUGGUCCUGAUUUGGGAACCUCCCCGUUGGCUGUUCUUGCUGCAGCUGAGUCAAGGCUCCUGUUAAUUGCCCAACUGUGGUCUCGAGGCGCUUGAUAGUAGCACUCUGAGACUCCAUGUUUUGUUUGGUCAUCUCCAUAAAGGACUGC
rnacentral:lncRNA from 1 species